GUUAACUGCAGCCAGAGGGGCAGGUGUUUGGAGAGCAGAGCCCUGCAGGUGAUGGGAAAAAUGCCAGCCUGGGGAUAGGAGCCAACGUGGAGCGUCAACCAGACUAAGCUUAUUAAGUCAACGACUUUCCAUGCGCAAGCACCGCUGUGGCUUUAUCAUCACAAUCACCAACAGCACAGAACAACUCACUGCGUACUGCAGCCUGGACCCAGCCUGACUCUGACUGCUCCACUUGACACUUUCUUCCUUGCUCUUUCGUUUCCAGCCCUACUGGCUUUUGUUUCCACUUCUUGAAGGGAUUUGCAUUGCUGAGACCUCUCAGGAUGUCUGCUUCCCUGCUAACCGGGUUUCCCAAGGCCUCUGCUAGACAGCAUCUAGAAACACUGAGAAUGGAGACUCGAACCAUUUCACCCUCGGCUGAGUGCCUUCAUGCCACGGGAGCAGAAGCAGGGUGGACAUACUCACAGAGCCACAGAGAACACUCUUUAGCCUGGUUGGGAGACUCCUGGAUUUAAGUCUGGCCUGCUCCAGCGACAAAAACCAGAGGAUCCAGUGCACCUCGUGUUUUUGAGUUCAGCAUUCCCAUGUUCUACUUGUGUCAUCCAAGCAAACGAUUCCAUUUCAUAGAACCUCGGUUUCCUGUGUCCAGAAAGUGGAUAUAACAAAGGGAACCUGGCUGAGAUUGGACCCAGAGAAUUUUGGAUCUCUCAGAACACAUCAGGCCAUGCUAUAGAACCUGUGGUGGACUGCAUUUUCCGAAGAUGGACACAUCUCUCCUGGCCCGCGCGCUCCCUGUGGUGACACGCUCACACCUGUGCUCUCCCUCUGCGGUGAGAUGGCACCUGGACCCAACUCCCAGGGUCUGGGCAGGCUUGCGACUUUGGGGGAAGUGAUGCUGCGUGACUUCUGAGCCCAUGUCAUAAAAGGUAGUAACUGGAACAAGCCACCUAUCUUGAAGCUUCAGUGCUCGCCUGGUCACCUGAUUGGAUCACAUGAAGUGACCAUCGAACAAUUUCUGCAAUUGGAUUGAUAUCACAUUUCAGCCCAAAGUUUGCAACCUGAGACUGCCUUAAGAGUCCACACAGCCUUGGAACUUUCUGACUGACACAGGUCCCACUUUGUUGGCUCCCCUGACAAAAGCAGCACCUGUUUUGGGUGUCUUUCCUGGAACAGCAAUCUAUAAAAUGCCUUCAAGAGGUACAGGACAAAUUGAGGUUUCCCAUGUUCGGUUCUGGGGCUCAGCUGACUUGGCCAAGGGCACACUCCUGAAUCAGAAUGUUCUAAACUUUCCCAUUAGGCCAUUUUGAACAGGACAAUCACGGUGCUUGAUCUGGUACGAAACAUGCUGCAGGAGAAUUCUG